UUUUCUGUAACCAAUUAAGAAGGUUCUAGAGGAUAGGGAAAGGACUAAUUAGCAAAACGAAAACUAAAAGAAGUCAAAUUUUUGGGACUUUUGAGCUGAAAAAUGAAGGAAAACAUCUGCAAAGGUACAACUGUCCAAUUCGGUUUUAGAAGAUGCUUUUUUUCGUAUUUUUAGGGAUGACACAUGUUAAAAGGGAUUCCUUGAUUUUUAGUAUAAAAAGGGGAUCUUCCCCACAGAUAAAGGGAUUUUUUGGAUGCUCUGCAUUUUUGAAAAGAAAGAAGGAUCUUCUGACUCUCUACUUUUCUUUCAAAAAAUAUCCUCAUUCUCAUUUUGUUUCAGAAAAUAUCUUAAAAACUAAAAAAAAACGGUUUAGAAAAACAACAAAAAAGGAGAGAUUCGAAUUCAUACUAUUUCAGUAGUUUUUCUGGGUUCUCUUUGGAUUUUGGAAGUGGCCUUUUGAAGCUGUUUUGGUUUGCUUUUAGCUGUUCGUGCUGAUAUUUUCCUCAACAUUUAGAGAUUUAUUUUCUUUGUGUAUUUUUGUUAUAACCAGGUAUGAAGCUGAGCAUUUGUUCUUCCAUGAUUGUAUACAUGAAGUUUGAAAUUCCAUGUUAAGCUCCAUGUGAUUAGCAUGUUCUGCAACAUUCUUAUUUAAAUCUGUUUCGUGCAUUACUGUACUUUAAACACAUUAUUAUUGUAUUGAAAUAAUACAUGAUGACAGUCAUGGUAUGAAGUUAUCAAAUGGAAUUGUGAUUUAGCUUGUUUGCCUCCCUAUUCUAUGAUGGAGUAUAUUGUGCUUAUGAUUCUCCACGAAGAAUAAUUUAAGAUUUUUUGUAUAAUUGAUUUUCCAUUAGUCAUGAACAAGUUUGUGGUGUUAGUCAGGUGAUAAGAGCAAUUAAAACUUGCUAGAUAGGAUUUUGAAACUGAAAUUGUAUAAAUAUAUGUGUACCCAUAUUUUGUUCGUUAAGUUUGGUAGGAUUACAUCAAUUGUGGCUAGGAUCAUUUGCCUUUGUAAUAGUUCAAGCUUAAAGUGCGAUUUUUCUCUUUGAUUAGCGUUUUAAUUGUCAAAUAUUUAGCCAGAUUUGUAAUUAUACUAUGCUGUAAUUUAUU
rnacentral:lncRNA from 1 species